UAUUUUGUUUAAUUAGCACUCCUGAUCAAUGGCUAGAAAACUACUAGUAACUUAUUAUAGAAUUACACCCUGACCCUCAUUUAAUACUAUAAUUUCCUAGUUUUAGCUGUAAAAUACGGCAUAUUGUAUGCUAUACAUGUGAGAAGGCAGAGGCUCAAGCUUUUUUUUAGAAGGAUUUCUUUUUCUUCUCUAUUUUUACAGUGCUAGCUUGGUGUGUACUGAUCCUGAACCAUAAUACUAGCUCUUAUGUAUGCUAUACCUGUGCUUUUUGUCUUCAACAAUUCAAGCACUAUUGCUUCAACUACCUUGAUAUUUUUUUGCGCCUGCAGUCAGGUUUGUUAAAGUUGCAUUCAUGAUUUGCUUUUGAGGUUGCCCCUUUGUGCGUACUGAUUUGUGGUUCGAUUGCGAGAGUUGAUGAGUUGAUAGAGGGAGAACUCAGGUACUGCAACCUGCCUAUUUUAAAGACUCUGAUCAACAUGUUUUGAAUGGUGACCACCCUGAUCCAAAUGUAAACCUCCAAAGCUCGGUAUAGGGAUAAGAAAUUCCAUUUUGUAAGGUUUCUUGGUGUGCAACAAGAACAACUGUCGAAGCUCAAAUGUGUUUUGGAGUUCCUUUGUUCUGGGUAAACACUACAUCACAAAACAACAUAAUAAGAAUAACUUUAUAGGUUGUGUUCAUCUUCUUAAACUUUGGAUAGUCUUUAAUGCCUGCAUUUCGAAGGGAAAUAUUGCUUGAUAGGGAUGGCUAAAUUGCCUCCCCUAAGUAUGUGAAUCUAGCGUUAUGUGGAGUCAAGUUCUCGGUACUAGGAUUUUCUUUACAUGCAUUCUUAUAUGUAUUCUUAUAUGUGGUUGCUGAUUGGUCAUUUUUUUUGUUAAUUAUCACUCCUGACCAAUGACAAGAAAUCUAUGAGUACACUUAUUCUAGAAUUACACCCUCAUUUAUUAUUGUAAUUUUCUCAUUUUUAACUGUAAAAAAUGACAUAGUGCAUGCUUUACAAGUGAGAAGGCAGUGUGUCAAGUGAGAAUUACACCCUCCUUGUAAUUUUUUGUUUGUAUUUUUUUGGACCUUUUGCAUAUGCUUCAGAAUGCACAUUGUGUGCAUGUAGGGUAUCUCUUGGAACCAGCAUCAGAUUGGCUCCAAGCAUUAGAAAAU